GUCCACCCCGUAAACGUUGGGAACUAGUUGUGGGGACCAUUCCACGGUCUCCGUGACGCAGCUAACGCAUUAAGUUCCCCGCCUGGGGAGUACGGCCGCAAGGCUAAAACUCAAAGGAAUUGACGGGGACCCGCACAAGCGGCGGAGCAUGCGGAUUAAUUCGAUGCAACGCGAAGAACCUUACCAAGGCUUGACAUAUACGAGAACGGGCUAGAAAUAGUCAACUCUUUGGACACUCGUAAACAGGUGGUGCAUGGUUGUCGU
rnacentral:rRNA from 1 species